AUGUGGUUUAAUUCGAAGCAACGCGAAGAGCCUUACCAGGUCUUGACAUCCGAUGCUAUUCUAGAGAUAGAAGUUACUUCGGUACAUCGGUGACAGGUGGUGCAUGGUUGUCGUCAGCUCGUGUCGUGAGAUGUUGGGUUAAGUCCCCGCAACGAGCGCAACCCUAUUGUUAGUUGCCAUCAUUCAGUUGGGCACUCUAGCGAGACUGCCGGUAAUAAACCGGAGGAAGGUGGGGAUGACGUCAGGUCCUCAUGGCCCUUAUAGGUGGGGCUACACACGUCAUACAAUGGCCGGUACAGAGGGUAGCCAACCCGCGAGGGGGAGCCAAUCCCACAAAGCCGGUCGUAGUCCGGAUCGCAGUCUGCAACUCGACUGCGUGAAGUCGGAAUCGCUAGUAAUCGCGGAUCAGCAUGUCGCGGUGAAUACGUUCCCGGGUCUU
rnacentral:rRNA from 1 species